rnacentral:rRNA from 1 species
UCUGGUUGAUCCUGCCAGUAUUAUAUGCUGAUGUUAAAGAUUAAGCCAUGCAUGUGUAAGUAUAAAGACCAAGUAGGAUGAAACUGCGGACGGCUCAUUAUAACAGUAAUAGUUUCUUUGGUUAGUAAAGUACAAGGAUAGCUUUGUGAAUGAUAAAGAUAAUACUUGAGACGAUCCAAUUUGUAUUAGUACAAAGUGGCCAAUUUAUGUAAGUAAAUUGAGAAAUGACAUUCUAAGUGAGUUAGGAUGCCACGACAAUUGUAGAACACACAGUGUUUAACAAGUAACCAAUGAGAAUUUCUGAUCUAUCAAUCAGUUGGUAGUAUCGAGGACUACCAAGAUUAUAACGGAUAACGAGGAAUUGGGGUUCGACAUCGGAGAGGGAGCUUUACAGAUGGCUACCACUUCUAAGAAGCAGCAGCGCGUAAAUUACCCACUUUCGAUUGAGAGUAGUGACGACACAUACUCUAGAGUGAGUAAAUCAUCUGAGAUGAGUAGAGUAAUCUCUACGAAUCAUGAGGCAGUCUGGUGCAGCAGCGCGGUAAUCCAGCUCCAUAGUGUAUAUAAAGUGCUGUGAUUAAACGCUCGUAGUUGAAUUAAAAUGUGAUUUUAUACAUUUGAAGACUUUACAUUAAGUGAAGUUUCUAGAAAUGUUAAAUUAAAAUCAAAGAAGGAGACAAUUCAAGUAAUUGAGUUGUCAUUACUUUGAAUAAAAUAAGGUGUUUAAAGCAAAACAUUAUGUUAAUGAAUAUUCAAGCAUGGGACAAUGCUGAGGAGAUGUCAAUUAGACAUUUCGAGAGAAGGAUUAAAAGGAACAAUUGGGGUGAUUCAGAAAAUAACGGGAGAGGUGAAAAUCCAUGAUCGCUAUAAGAUGCACGAGAGCGAAAGCAUUUCACUCAACUGGGUCCAUUAAUCAAGAACGAAAGUUAGGGGAUCGAAGACGAUCAGAUACCGUCGUAGUCCUAACUAUAAACGAUGUCAACCAAGGAUUGGAUGAAAUUCAGAUGUACAAAGAUGAAGAAACAUUGUUUCUAAAUCCAAGUAUAUCAAUACUACCUUGUUCAGAACUUAAAGAGAAAUCUUGAGUUUAUGGACUUCAGGGGGAGUAUGGUCACAAGGCUGAAACUUAAAGGAAUUGACGGAAGGGCACACCAGGAGUGGAGCCUGCGGCUUAAUUUGACUCAACACGGGAAAACUUACCAAGACCGAACAGUAGAAGGAAUGACAGAUUAAGAGUUCUUUCAUGAUUUAUUGGGUAGUGGUGCAUGGCCGUUCUUAGUUGGUGGAGUGAUUUGUCAGGUUAAUUCCGGUAACGAACGAGACUGAAACCUAUUAAUUAGUUUUCUGCCUAUAAGACAGAAAUGUUCGCAAGAACAGGUGCGUAAGUACCACUUCUUAAAGGGACACAUUCAA